rnacentral:tRNA from 1 species
AAAAUAAGUAUGAACUUUUGAAAAUUUCUAAUUUUAUAAAAUUAUAGUUUAAAUCUAUUUUUAUUUUU